UUAAGCGACUAAGCGUACACGGUGGAUGCCCUGGCAGUCAGAGGCGAUGAAGGACGUGCUAAUCUGCGAAAAGCGUCGGUAAGGUGAUAUGAACCGUUAUAGCCGGCGAUGUCCGAAUGGGGAAACCCAGUGCAAUUCGUUGCACUAUCGUUAACUGAAUACAUAGGUUAACGAGGCGAACCGGGGGAACUGAAACAUCUAAGUACCCCGAGGAAAAGAAAUCAACCGAGAUUCCCCCAGUAGCGGCGAGCGAACGGGGAGCAGCCCAGAGUCUGAAUCAGCUUGUGUGUUAGUGGAACGGUCUGGAAAGUCCGACGGUACAGGGUGAUAGUCCCGUACACCAAAAUGCACAGGCUGUGAACUCGAAGAGUAGGGCGGGACACGUGGUAUCCUGUCUGAAUAUGGGGGGACCAUCCUCCAAGGCUAAAUACUCCUGACUGACCGAUAGUGAACCAGUACCGUGAGGGAAAGGCGAAAAGAACCCCGGCGAGGGGAGUGAAAAAGAACCUGAAACCGUGUACGUACAAGCAGUGGGAGCACCUUCGGGUGUGACUGCGUACCUUUUGUAUAAUGGGUCAGCGACUUAUAUUCUGUAGCAAGGUUAACCGUAUAGGGGAGCCGCAGGGAAACCGAGUCUUAACUGGGCGUUAAGUUGCAGGGUAUAGACCCGAAACCCGGUGAUCUAGCCAUGGGCAGGUUGAAGGUUGGGUAACACUAACUGGAGGACCGAACCGACUAAUGUUGAAAAAUUAGCGGAUGACUUGUGGCUGGGGGUGAAAGGCCAAUCAAACCGGGAGAUAGCUGGUUCUCCCCGAAAGCUAUUUAGGUAGCGCCUCGUGAACUCAUCUUCGGGGGUAGAGCACUGUUUCGGCUAGGGGGUCAUCCCGGCUUACCAACCCGAUGCAAACUACGAAUACCGAAGAAUGUUAUCACGGGAGACACACGGCGGGUGCUAACGUCCGUCGUGAAGAGGGAAACAACCCAGACCGCCAGCUAAGGUCCCAAAGUCAUGGUUAAGUGGGAAACGAUGUGGGAAGGCACAGACAGCCAGGAUGUUGGCUUAGAAGCAGCCAUCAUUUAAAGAAAGCGUAAUAGCUCACUGGUCGAGUCGGCCUGCGCGGAAGAUGUAACGGGGCUAAACCAUGCACCGAAGCUGCGGCAGCGACACGAUGUGUUGUUGGGUAGGGGAGCGUUCUGUAAGCCUGCGAAGGUGACCUGUGAGGGUUGCUGGAGGUAUCAGAAGUGCGAAUGCUGACAUAAGUAACGAUAAAGCGGGUGAAAAGCCCGCUCGCCGGAAGACCAAGGGUUCCUGUCCAACGUUAAUCGGGGCAGGGUGAGUCGACCCCUAAGGCGAGGCCGAAAGGCGUAGUCGAUGGGAAACAGGUUAAUAUUCCUGUACUUGGUGUUACUGCGAAGGGGGGACGGAGAAGGCUAUGUUAGCCGGGCGACGGUUGUCCCGGUUUAAGCAUGUAGGCUGGUUAUCCAGGCAAAUCCGGAUAAUCAAGGCUGAGGUGUGAUGACGAGGCACUACGGUGCUGAAGUAACAAAUGCCCUGCUUCCAGGAAAAGCCUCUAAGCAUCAGGUAACAUCAAAUCGUACCCCAAACCGACACAGGUGGUCAGGUAGAGAAUACCAAGGCGCUUGAGAGAACUCGGGUGAAGGAACUAGGCAAAAUGGUGCCGUAACUUCGGGAGAAGGCACGCUGGUGUGUAGGUGAAGUCCCUGCGGAUGGAGCUGAGACCAGUCGAAGAUACCAGCUGGCUGCAACUGUUUAUUAAAAACACAGCACUGUGCAAACACGAAAGUGGACGUAUACGGUGUGACGCCUGCCCGGUGCCGGAAGGUUAAUUGAUGGGGUUAUCCGUAAGGAGAAGCUCUUGAUCGAAGCCCCGGUAAACGGCGGCCGUAACUAUAACGGUCCUAAGGUAGCGAAAUUCCUUGUCGGGUAAGUUCCGACCUGCACGAAUGGCGUAAUGAUGGCCAGGCUGUCUCCACCCGAGACUCAGUGAAAUUGAACUCGCUGUGAAGAUGCAGUGUACCCGCGGCAAGACGGAAAGACCCCGUGAACCUUUACUAUAGCUUGACACUGAACAUUGAGCCUUGAUGUGUAGGAUAGGUGGGAGGCUUUGAAGCGUGGACGCCAGUCUGCGUGGAGCCAACCUUGAAAUACCACCCUUUAAUGUUUGAUGUUCUAACGUUGGCCCCUUAUCGGGGUUGCGGACAGUGUCUGGUGGGUAGUUUGACUGGGGCGGUCUCCUCCCAAAGCGUAACGGAGGAGCACGAAGGUUAGCUAAUCCUGGUCGGACAUCAGGAGGUUAGUGCAAUGGCAUAAGCUAGCUUGACUGCGAGCGUGACGGCGCGAGCAGGUGCGAAAGCAGGUCAUAGUGAUCCGGUGGUUCUGAAUGGAAGGGCCAUCGCUCAACGGAUAAAAGGUACUCCGGGGAUAACAGGCUGAUACCGCCCAAGAGUUCAUAUCGACGGCGGUGUUUGGCACCUCGAUGUCGGCUCAUCACAUCCUGGGGCUGAAGUAGGUCCCAAGGGUAUGGCUGUUCGCCAUUUAAAGUGGUACGCGAGCUGGGUUUAGAACGUCGUGAGACAGUUCGGUCCCUAUCUGCCGUGGGCGCUGGAGAAUUGAGGGGGGCUGCUCCUAGUACGAGAGGACCGGAGUGGACGCAUCACUGGUGUUCGGGUUGUCAUGCCAAUGGCACUGCCCGGUAGCUAAAUGCGGAAGAGAUAAGUGCUGAAAGCAUCUAAGCACGAAACUUGCCCCGAGAUGAGUUCUCCCUGAGACUAUAAGUCUCCUGAAGGAACGUUGAAGACGACGACGUUGAUAGGCCGGGUGUGUAAGCGCAGCGAUGCGUUGAGCUAACCGGUACUAAUGAACCGUGAGGCUUAACCUU
rnacentral:rRNA from 2 species